UGGCGGACGGGUGAGUAACGCGUGGGAACGUGCCCUUCGGUUCGGAAUAACUCAGGGAAACUUGAGCUAAUACCGGAUACGUGCGAGAGCAGAAAGGUUUAUCUGCCGAAGGAUCGGCCCGCGUCUGAUUAGCUAGUUGGUGAGGUUACGGCUCACCAAGGCGACGAUCAGUAGCUGGUCUGAGAGGAUGAUCAGCCACACUGGGACUGAGACACGGCCCAGACUCCUACGGGAGGCAGCAGUGGGGAAUAUUGGACAAUGGGGGCAACCCUGAUCCAGCCAUGCCGCGUGAGUGAUGAAGGCCUUAGGGUUGUAAAGCUCUUUUACCAGGGAUGAUAAUGACAGUACCUGGAGAAUAAGCUCCGGCUAACUCCGUACCAGCAGCCGCGGUAAU
rnacentral:rRNA from 1 species